rnacentral:rRNA from 1 species
GAUGAACGCUAGCGGCAGGCUUAACACAUGCAAGUCGAGGGGCAGCACGUCUUCGGAUGGUGGCGAUCGGCGCACGGGUGCGUAACGCGUAUACAACCUACCUUAUAGAGGGGAAUAGCCCAGAGAAAUUUGGAUUAAUGCCCCAUAGUAUUAUUGAAUAGCAUUAUUUAAUGGUUAAACAUUUAUGGCUAUAAGAUGGGUAUGCGUUCUAUUAGCUAGAUGGUAAGGUAACGGCUUACCAUGGCGACGAUAGAUAGGGGUCCUGAGAGGGAGAUCCCCCACACUGGUACUGAGACACGGACCAGACUCCUACGGGAGGCAGCAGUGAGGAAUAUUGGACAAUGGGCGAGAGCCUGAUCCAGCCAUGCCGCGUGCAGGAAGACGGCCCUAUGGGUUGUAAACUGCUUUUAUACGGGAAGAAACACUCCUUCGUGAAGGAGCUUGACGGUACCGUAAGAAUAAGGAUCGGCUAACUCCGUGCCAGCAGCCGCGGU